rnacentral:rRNA from 1 species
GACGAACGCUGGCGGCGUGCUUAACACAUGCAAGUCGAACGGAAAGGCGCUGCUUUUGUGGGGUGCUCGAGUGGCGAACGGGUGAGUAACACGUGAGUAACCUGCACUUGACUUUGGGAUAACUUCAGGAAACUGGGGCUAAUACCGGAUAGGAGCUCUUGCUGCAUGGUGGGGGUUGGAAAGUGUCGGCGGUUGGGGAUGGACUCGCGGCUUAUCAGCUUGUUGGGGGGGUAGUGGCUUACCAAGGCUUUGACGGGUAGCCGGCCUGGGAGGGUGACCGGCCUCAUUGCGCCUGAGAUACGGCCCAGACUCCUACCGGAGGCAGCAGUGGGGAAUAUUGCACAAUGGGCGGAAGCCUGAUGCAGCAACGCCGCGUGCGUGAUGACGGCCUUCUGGUUGUAAACCGCUUUCGCCUGUGACGAAGCGUGAGUGACGGUAAUGGGUAAAGAAGCACCGGCUAACUACGUG